rnacentral:misc_RNA from 1 species
UGGGCUUGACAUGCAGGGUGAAACCCGUGAAAGCGGGUGCUCUUCGGAGCCUGCACAGGUGGUGCAUGGCUGUCGUCAGCUCGUGCCGUGAGGUGUUGCCUUAAGUGGCGCAACGAGCGCAACCCCUGUCCUUAGUUGCCAGCGGAUGAUGCCGGGAACUCUAGGGAGACUGCCGGUGCCAAACCGGAGGAAGGUGGGGAUGACGUCGAAUACGUAAC